rnacentral:rRNA from 1 species
AUGGCUUCUUCGAUCAUCAACCACAACGCGGUCCAGGGUGAGACUUUUCUCCCCGGACAUAUCUUCGUAUUCGGCGGCUUUGCAUUGCGGGCCAAUUCACUUGGCCAUCUGGAGCAGAUCGAAAGCUACGCCCCUGGCCAUCAGGUCAGAUUUGGAAGUUUAAACUACACGGCUGACAUCCGCGGAGACUUGAUCUUCGACGGAUUCGAGCCACAGCCGAGCGCGCCGCACUAUCACGAUGGGCAUGAUCUAGCUCUGCCACCGGACAACGCCAAGAGUGCCGCUCAGGUGUCCGCUCCGACCCUUAGCUCGGAGCCGACUGCGCCGAUCAAGGACGGGCGGCUGGACGCCGCUUCGGGGGCUGCAAUCUCUACGACGAUCAAGCCGAACACCAAUCUUGUCCUUCGCGGAGCUCAAGACUCCAAGGUGCCGGACUCCGUUCCGGACUCCGAAUCUUCCGCACCUCUCCCGAUCGAACCCAAUUGGGCUCCGAUCAUGGAGUUCACCGCUGCGGACAUCUUUCAACACUCGCCCUUUGGCGACAUCCUGAAUUCACUAAAGUCUCUCUCUUUAUUAGGAAAGCCCUGGCCGGACUAUGGUCAGCAGGGUUGGGAUGCGGACGACGAAGAAAUUCGAAGCCCACCCACCACCCACUGCGUAGCCACUGUCGACGAUUUAACCGACAUGCUCGACUUCGACUCCGAAGACAUCGACGGUAUGGACGCCGAUGAAGGAGACAAACAAGAACCAGCCCCUAUAGGGCACUGGACAACCGCCUCAUCCCACGAUGUAUACAUGGUGUUCAAACCUAAAAGAAACAACAACGAGGAUCAAAAAGGCGCAACGAGGGAUCGUUCCCUCGAAAAGCAAUCAAAGCGGCGACGGAAGCGCUGCGCCAAACCGCACCUUGACAGACACCCAGCCAUAGAGUAG